rnacentral:rRNA from 1 species
CUGGCUCAGGAUGAACGCUGGCGGCGUGCCUAAUACAUGCAAGUCGAACGAGGUAGCAAUACCGAGUGGCGAACGGGUGAGUAACACGUAGGUAACCUGCCCUUAAGCUUGGGAUACCCAGAGGAAACUUUGGCUAAUACCGGAUAACAACAGAGAAGGCAUCUUCUUUGCUUGAAAGGCCCCUUCAAGGGUCACUUAAGGAUGGACCUGCGGCGCAUUAGCUAGUUGGUGAGAUAACAGCCCACCAAGGCGAGGAUGCGUAGCCGAACUGAGAGGUUGAUCGGCCACAUUGGAACUGAGACACGGUCCAAACUCCUACGGGAGGCAGCAGUAAGGAGUUUUCGGCAAUGGGGGAAACCCUGACCGAGCAACGCCGCGUGAGCGAUGACGGCCCUAAUGGGUUGUAAAGCUCUGUUGUAAGCCAUGAAUGACGGCUUGAGGAAAUGCAAGUUGUUUGACGACAGCUUACCAGAAAGCCACGGCUAACUACGUGCCAGCCGCCGC